CAAAAGUUUGUUUACGAAGAAAAAAGUAGAAGGUUGCGAUACCGUGUGUGAAGGAGAAAAUUCCUGCGAUUGACUGGAUCAAGGCUGAAAGGGUUAAUUUGACUGCUUUAUUUCGCAACGGAAGUUGAGGUCCGUGGGGUAAAACCCCUUGUGUCAUCGGCUGCUCUGUGAAGUAGUUGUAAAGUUGCCUGUGUUUGCCCGCAAACUACGGUGUUAAAUUCUCUUUGGGAGUUUGUCGAAUUGAAGAGUAAAACUAAGGUGACCGAUGUGAGUAGGAACAAAACGGAAUUUGG